GGCACUUUGAAUUUGAACUCAUAUUGAAUCAACCGCUCCCGUGGUGAUGGGAAUCUUUCGAUAUAAAUUUGAACAGUGCUACAAAAAUUCGCUAGGUGGCUCGUAUGGAUUUAUGUAUUGGAGCCACUGAACGACAGAUGGUGCUGGCAGUAAAUGGGGAAAAAUCACAUAGUGCUACUCAAUUUUCUAGUUCGCUUCUUCAGCACUAGAUGGCGUUUUCCAAUAUUUAAGCUGGCUAGAAAACUUAAUUUAAUCUUUUCUCCUGAUGUGGCAGCUCCUUUUGAUUGCGCGAGAAUAUCACGGGUGAAGAGCAUGAGAAAUGGUCCAUCCAACAUGCGAUGCCUUAUCAAGUCCUUAAAGGAAAGGACUUCCGAUUCCUCUAGGAUGUACUCCAUUGAAGGGCUGUUGCGGUCCGGAAUCCAUGCAGGAGCUAUACUGUUAACAGUAUACUGUCAAUAAACUUAAAAGUAUCUUUGCCAAAUAAAUUUAAUAAGGAUGAGGUCGACGGAAAUAUGUGACGUAUACUCGUAUAUACGAAUAUAUAUACGUAUAUACUCGUAUAUACUCAAUAUACGACGACAAAAAUUUCAUGAAAAUCAGACCAGCCGUUUGCGAGGAGCUCAGUCACAAACAACGUGACACGAGAUUUUUACAUAUAUAUAAUAAUACCUAUUGCUGCUUUGCAGCUCUCCAUGUGUGAUGCACCAAAUUCUAUUUCACACACAAUGAUCUCGUGAUGGAUAUGUGGCCUUGUCUCCGGGAACUCGUUUUCUUAGUGAAGAUCCGAUCAUUUUAAAGACUUUGGCUACCCUUCAUGUAAUCCCUCGCCACUAUAUAUGUAUGUACAUAUAGGAAUGUCUUCGUGGACAUUCGUGGAGACGGCAGUCAGCGUCCAUGGCACUCCUCCAAGCUAGACAAUUAUUUGUUUUCACAAUGGAAAAAUGGUGGUAUGGUAUCAAUGGCAUCGGUGGUUUUCGUACUUGUUCGGUUCACGUACCAAACUUUCCGUGUUUCAUGUGCGCUUGAAUAAUAUUGGUUGAAAUUCACAAACAAACGAGAAGGAACGUGCGAGUCGCUUCUGG